rnacentral:rRNA from 1 species
UACGUAGGGGCUAGCGUUAUCCGGAAUUACUGGGCGUAAAGGGUGCGCAGGUUGUUUGAUAAGUCAGUGGUGAAAGUCUGUCGCUUAACGGUAGGAUUGCCAUUGAUACUGUUGGACUUGAAUAUGGAUGAGGUAGGCGGAAUGUGUAGUGUAGCGGUGAAAUGCAUAGAUAUUACACAGAACACCGAUUGCGAAGGCAGCUUACUAAUCCAUCAUUGACGCUGAGGCACGAAAGCGUGGGGAUCAAACAGGA